GCGGGAGCUGAAGAGGGCUAAUCCAGCGGCCUCCCGAGACCAGCUGUCGCUGUCUUCCCAUCUGAUGUUUCCUUCCCGGGGGGAUCCCACUCCGCUGACCGACCACCAAACCUAUGGCUCUCGCCCCUCUACUCCAAAUUCCCAGCCCCACUACGCUGGUGGCGCCCGAACCCAGCAGCAGGAGCUCUGGCAACUCCCACACAGUGCCGGCAGCAGGUGGGGACCCGCCAGCGCCCUCUGGUCGCCCCCGCAGUAUCAGUGCCCUGCCAAUCUUUGUGGCCACCCCCACCAGGGCAGGAGGCGCAGAAGAGGUACAGCAAACCUACCUGCGGGGUCAGGGCGCGGACACACGAGUUUGCAAACUGAAUCUUGCUUUCGGGAGAGACCUUUCUGUCUCUUUCUCUCUCUCUCUUUUUUAAUCUCCUUCUGAGCUCAGCCCCCAAAACCACAAGCUUCACUUCCUGAGCGUUACAGAGUAGCUCCCUAGCCCUCUCAGACCUAUCCCCCAACCCCUAGUUGGGCGGAGGGGCGCGCUCCUCCUUUGAACAAGUGGUCCCCGAGGAGGCCUAGGACCUGAUUUUUCUAGCCCGCUUCCUGGACGCCCUUUCGCGGACCUCCCCAUUCCCCCUCCCCUCUGUGGACCAGCGGGGGAUGGAGGAACACAGAGGUCCCGUCACCCAGGCACUAGAAAUGACUAGAAAGAAAAUUGAACUAUUCUUGGCUCCUGGGAGACUUCCGCAGC
rnacentral:lncRNA from 1 species